AACUAUAACGGUCCUAAGGUAGCGAAAUUCCUUGUCAGGUAAGUUCUGACCCGCAUGAAAGGCGUAAUGAUCUGGGCACUGUCUCAACAGCCCGCCCGGCGAAAUUGUAGUACCGGUGAAGAUGCCGGUUACCCGCGACAAGACGGAAAGACCCCAUGGAGCUUUACUGUAGCCUGAUAUUGGGUUUCGGUGUUGCAUGCACAGGAUAGAUGGGACGCUGGGAAAGAAGCGCUUUGGCGUUUCUGGAGCGGACGUUGGGAUACCAUCCUUGCGACAUUGGAAUUCUAACCUGCGCCUCUGAAUCGAGGCGGGGGACAUUGUCAGGUGGGCAGUUUGACUGGGGCGGUCGCCUCCUAAAAAGUAGCGGAGGCGUUCAAAGGUUCGUUCGAUCUGGACGGAAACCAGAUGAUUGAGUGCAAACGCAUAAACGAGCCUGACUGCGAGACUGACGGGUCGAGCAGAGACGAAAGUCGGAGUUAGUGAUCCGGUGGUAUGUGAGUGGAAAUGCCAUCGCUCAACGGAUAAAAGUUACCCUGGGGAUAACAGGCUGAUCUCCCCCAAGAGUCCACAUCGACGGGGAGGUUUGGCACCUCGAUGUCGGCUCAUCGCAUCCUGGGGCUGAAUUCGGUCCCAAGGGUUUGGCUGUUCGCCAAUUAAAGCGGUACGCGAGCUGGGUUCAGAACGUCGUGAGACAGUUCGGUCCCUAUCUGUUGCGGGCGUAAGAGAUUUGAAGGGAGCUGUCCUUAGUACGAGAGGACCGGGAUGGACGUACCUCUGGUGCACCAGUUGUCCUGCCAAGGGCAUAGCUGGGUAGCUAUGUACGGACGAGAUAAACGCUGAAAGCAUCUAAGCGUGAAACUCCCCCUAAGAUGAGAUCUCUCAUCCUUUAAGGAGUAAGGACCCAGAAAGACGAUCUGGUUGAUAGGCCGAAGGUGGAAGCGCAGUAAUGUGUGCAGCUGAUCGGUACUAAUAGUCCGAGGGCUUGACCUA
rnacentral:rRNA from 1 species